rnacentral:lncRNA from 10 species
AUGAAGCAUACAAUCAAGUUGUUAGAGUUUGAAAAGGUUAAAGCAGCUUCAGGGAUCACUAUUUGUGCUUCUUGGGUACUGGAACGUCAUGCCAGUAAUAAGCGAUAUGCAAGCCAAAGACAAAGAAGCAAUUAGUUCUCUGCAUUGGUGAAAGGCUGCCCAGCUACAGAGUGGAUGGGGAAGGCCGUGAAUUCUUUUCCUUUGAGGCUGAACUGAGUCACAAAGACUCAAGCCAGUGGUUAUGGAGGUUCAUCUGUGAGUAUUUUCAGAUUGUCACAUCUACAAUCACAUCUCAGUUAAUUAAGAGGAGCGAGUUGCAGGGAAAAGGUCAUAGUAGAUGAUGAUACCUGCCUGUCUGACCUUUGAGGAAGGGGAAUUUCUGAAACCUAAGGCUUCCUUGUAUUGCUCAAUUCAGUGAGAAAGAAAUCACUAAUGAUAGUAAGCAUUCUGUCAUUUUUCUAACACUUAUUAAUUAUUAAAACUUGUUAAGUAAUAAACUAGUUUAUGACAGCAGUUGCUCUAUUUGUAUUAUAAUUAUUAUCAUCAUUAUUA